CAGCCGCCGCGGUAAUACCGAGGGUGCGAGCGUUAAUCGGAUUUACUGGGCGUAAAGCGUGCGUAGGCGGCUUUUUAAGUCGGAUGUGAAAUCCCUGAGCUUAACUUAGGAAUUGCAUUCGAUACUGGGAAGCUAGAGUAUGGGAGAGGAUGGUAGAAUUCCAGGUGUAGCGGUGAAAUGCGUAGAGAUCUGGAGGAAUACCGAUGGCGAAGGCAGCCAUCUGGCCUAAUACUGACGCUGAGGUACGAAAGCAUGGGGAGCAAACAGGAUUAGAUACCCGUGUAGUCCCUGUCUCUUAUAC
rnacentral:rRNA from 1 species